rnacentral:misc_RNA from 1 species
CUUAUCAAGGUACUGAGCUAAGUAUCUUGGAGAAACACGCACAACUCUGAUAAGAGUUGUCAGAGAUACCAGAUGAACAGGUGAAUCAGAUGCAGUAGACCAAAUUUGGCUUUCUAUAACAGUCAAAAACCCAAGAAUAUCAACCACUGCUAAACUUGGAAGAAGAACACCAACCAAAAUUUCUCGAAUGGAAGAUGGUACAGCUGGUUGGUGUCCAGCUGAGUUGGCAGAUGGACUGCUAACACACUCUAUUUGAAAGAAUAUAUCUGUAAUCAGACGAGGUAUUUCAGAACCAAUGCAUGCUUUCCAUGUAUCCUCCAUACCUUCUGCAAGGAGCUCUGCAGCAGUAGAACUAUAUUUUUCAUUCGCAGCCAUAACCAAUUUUAUUAAUGGUUGAACCACCAGCAUGGCAAGACUUGGUUUCACAAGA